rnacentral:rRNA from 1 species
UGGAAGUAAAAAGUCGUAACAAGGUCUCCGUUGGUGAACCAGCGGAGGGAUCAUUACUGAGUUUACGCUCUACAACCCUUUGUGAACAUACCUAUAACUGUUGCUUCGGCGGGUAGGGUCUCCGUGACCCUCCCGGCCUCCCGCCCCCGGGCGGGUCGGCGCCCGCCGGAGGAUAACCAAACUCUGAUUUAACGACGUUUCUUCUGAGUGGUACAAGCAAAUAAUCAAAACUUUUAACAACGGAUCUCUUGGUUCUGGCAUCGAUGAAGAACGCAGCGAAAUGCGAUAAGUAAUGUGAAUUGCAGAAUUCAGUGAAUCAUCGAAUCUUUGAACGCACAUUGCGCCCGCCAGCAUUCUGGCGGGCAUGCCUGUUCGAGCGUCAUUUCAACCCUCAAGCUCUGCUUGGUGUUGGGGCCCUACAGCUGAUGUAGGCCCUCAAAGGUAGUGGCGGACCCUCCCGGAGCCUCCUUUGCGUAGUAACUUUACGUCUCGCACUGGGAUCCGGAGGGACUCUUGCCGUAAAACCCCCAAUUUUCCAAAGGUGACCUCGGAUCAG